ACGUUGAAACACUGGCUCUCGUACGAUCACCGAAGUUAAGCAACGUCAGACCCGGUCAGUGCCUAGACAGGUGACCGCUUGGGAAUGCCAGGUGCU